GACUUGGGCAAUUGAGUGGCACAGCCCCCUCCUGUCAUCCUGGCAGGGUGACAUGCAUCACUUGAAGAAGGGAAGGGAAACAACUUUCAAGCAUCUUCAUUUCACCUCGUGAACCAAGCCCCAUGAUCUGGACUCAUGUAAAGAGACCUUCUGACAUCAUCACAACUCUUUCUGAGAGGAGGAAUCAACAUCAAGGAAGCUAAAACUGAAUGUACUUUCUGGUAGCACUAGUAAUACUGACAUCUCAGGAAGAGAAACAGUCAAGUGUUAGAUACCUAUCAUUGAACCAACACUGUAAACCAAAUGGCUAAUUGGGCAAAGAGAAGAUCUGAAUCCUCUAUUGAAAUUGAAUGACUUAAAAUACCUGCUUCUGGGUUAGGGCACUUGAGCCUGAAGCUAAAGAGUGAACAGUGAGUUCUGGUGUUCUCUGAGGUUUGGUCCUGGCAAUGCUGAUGCCUUGAUGUGUGUUUUCUUCUCUUCACUAUGCAGAGAUUAGAGAUGAGUGAGGAAACAGGACUGAACAUGCUGCAUGCAGUUGGUGAACAGUUAUGCUGACCAUACUGUGUCAUAAUGCUAAUACAAAAUGUUUCUGUUCUAAUAAUGUGCUCUUAUGACUGGUAAACAUAAGCUUCUUCAGUCUCGGACCACAGCUGAUAGAGUCCUGAAGGGAAAAGCCUUGGGGGAUGUCGUCUUACUACAUUCCAGAGCAGCAGUAGCGUAUUUACCUUUGCCUUGUGCUUAGGGCCUGUAUUGGGUUUAUAUGCCCAGAGUUUGGCAGCAGGGGUUCUGCAGGAAUGGCCUUUGUGAACAGAACCUGGAAACUACCCCAUGUCAAAUAAAAGCUGAUUCUAGCUGGUUCCAAAAGGGAUCCAAUCCACUGUUGGCCAGAGCUCAGCUGUGAGUAGCACUGGUUUUGUGUCUGUGACCACUAACCUACUUUAUUGUUAAUUGGCAAUAAAUUACAUUAAUCUUUUCAAAAUGGAGUCUGUUUUGCUUAUGAGAAUUAUGGGUGAGUGAUAUCCCCUGUCCUUAUCUUGAACUAUGAGCUUUUUCAUCUUUUCUCCUGUUGUCCUACUGAAGUGGAGAAGAAAGCAGCUUGGUGGGCUCUAUGCACAUAGUCAAAUUUAAUCCCCCACAUGGCUUUUAUACAACACUGUGCAAAAAUGGCCUGAGAUUUUAAAGGAUCUCCAUGGUAUUGCUUGUUGUUGGAAGGUAUUUGUAUAUAGCCUAAAUGGAGGUUGAGUUCAAGCUGCCUGUAAUGAAAAGAAUUACAUCCCCUCUAAAACUUGUGCGUUACGUGUGUUCAAACAAUCAACGCUGUCUAUAACAUUUGGAUAUUUGUCUUCCUUAAGCUUCUUUUUGUAAGCAUUUUUAUCUUUCAGAUUAGGCAUUGUGUCAUUUUCUCAAUAUCAAAACAAAAAUAUUAUUUUAUUUGUUCUUCAUUCACCUUUUCUGCCUGGUUUGUAAACUCUUUCAGAUUUGUGUCUCCUAAUGUGGAUGUACAGCAUGUCGCACAAGAUUUAUUAAUGCCAAAAUAAAUGUUUGGUUUUUUCUUAGCAACUUUUCAUUUAAAGGUCUCUAUCCCUGGGGCUCAUCUGCUUUAGAACCUGCAACAGGAAAAGAGCCAAGUAUUUGGUAAUUAUCAGUGAUUUAUGAAACCCACAUUUUUUCCAGGGAAGUAUUUCAGAAUACUCCUAGUCUAUUUUGUUCCCUCUCCUGUUUUCUCUUUUCCAUUAUCUUCCUGUUGAUGUGCGCUUCUCUCAAAGGAAG